rnacentral:rRNA from 1 species
UACGGAGGGGGCUAGCGUUGUUCGGAAUUACUGGGCGUAAAGCGCACGUAGGCGGCUUUGUAAGUUAGAGGUGAAAGCCCAGGGCUUAACCCUGGAACUGCCUUUGAUACUGGGUAUCUCGAGUCCGGAAGAGGUGAGUGGAAUUCCGAGUGUAGAGGUGAAAUUCGUAGAUAUUCGGAGGAACACCAGUGGCGAAGGCGGCUCACUGGCCCGGUACUGACGCUGAGGCACGAAAGCGUGGGGAGCAAACAGG